rnacentral:lncRNA from 1 species
GUGGCGGUGGCUGCGGCGACGGCAGAGGCGAAGGGAGCCGGAUCGCCGACCUGAGCGGGAGGCGGCGGUGGCGGCCAUGGCGGCAGAUGGAGAGCGUUCCCCGCUGCUGUCUGAGCCCAUCGACGGUGGCGCGGGCGGCAACGGUUUAGUGGGGCCCGGCGGGAGUGGGGCUGGGCCCGGGGGAGGCCUGACCCCCUCCGCACCACCGUACGGAGCCGGUAAACAUGCCCCGCCCCAGGGUAAGCCGGGGCGGGUCCGAGGUGCUCCCCGGGGUACUCUGAAAGCCGGGGAGGGGGCGGGACCGAGGGCGGAGGCGGGUCCCAGUCGCCAGGUGCGGGACUGCUGCACCUGUGACUGGGCGAGGCUUCCUUCCCUCCGUAAUCGCGACCACAGCCUAGGGACGGAAGGGGGUUCUGAGCAACCUGAUAGAAGUGCCAAUUAUGAGAAGCCCUCCGAGCUUGGUCAGAGGGUUGAAGAUCAGAAGGACUUCCCUACCACCGUGGAGCAUCAGUGGGGGUGUAAGUGAUCCCAGCCCUUCUAUUUGCUUCCUCUCCAGCAUUUCCCCCGUUUCCCGAGGGGCAUCCAGCCGUGUUGCCUGGGGAGGACCCACCCCCCUAUUCACCCUUAACUAGCCCGGACAGUGGGAGUGCCCCUAUGAUCACCUGCCGAGUCUGCCAAUCUCUCAUCAACGUGGAAGGCAAGAUGCAUCAGCAUGUAGUCAAAUGUGGUGUCUGCAAUGAAGCCACCGUGAGUUACACAUAUCUAUGAAAUGGGCCCUGUUUCCUGGAUCCUCUUUCUGAUGUCUUGGUUCUAGACCCUGACCUUCCGGCUAUUAGCCAAGUGCUUUUGAUGAUACCCAGGUUUCAGUUCCAGGUGUCUCACACAGCCAUUUCCCCAGAAGCCACUCACCAAAGCUAAUGUUCACUUUCUCUCACUUUUACACCUAGCCUAGUUCCUAUUUGCAAAUCUCAUGAUAUAGUCUUUCUUUUAUUUCUCCUUCCUGGUUAGCACCUUAUUUUUCUGAUCUCAUAAAGUGUUUUUGGAGGGAAGUGGAGGGGAUUGGGAUUAGAGGUUUGCUUGCUGAUGACCCUAUUAUUCUCUAGCCAAUCAAGAAUGCACCCCCAGGGAAAAAAUAUGUUCGAUGCCCCUGUAACUGUCUCCUUAUCUGCAAAGUGACAUCCCAACGGAUUGCAUGCCCUCGGCCCUACUGGUAAGAGGCAUAAGGUGGGGAAGGGCCUAAGUGGGGAACUGGAAAGUCAAAAAAGGAUGAGCGUAUACAGAGAAUGUAAAGGUGAGAGAGCCUAGUGUUUAUUUAGGAGAAAAGGCUUUGAAGCAUGUGCCUCAGGAAUGUUAUAGCUGUCUUUCUCGUUUCUCAAUAAAAAUAUUGAGAUGAAAUGAUGUCGUUUCGGAGAAUAGAGAGCCUUGGGGACUGGGUGUGUUAUCCUGAGGUCGGAGGGGAAUUGGGGACCUGAAGUUUAAACAGUGCUCUUUCUUUCUCAAGGAUUCUUGAGGGUAUACAGUUGGGGGACAGAGUAUCUUAAGUACAGAGAAGUCGAGUGACUUAAUAGACAGGGAGUGGGGGAUGUGGAACAGGGACUGUGAAGAUUUUUAGGAUUAAAAAUUUUUCAAACACAAGUUUGAAAAUACAAGUCUUUUUCUUUUGUAUAGCAAAAGAAUCAUCAACCUGGGGCCUGUGCAUCCCGGACCUCUGAGUCCAGAACCCCAACCCAUGGGUGUCAGGGUUAUCUGUGGACAUUGCAAGAAUACUUUUCUGGUGAGGAAGGGGUAUUGGGAAGGGGAGGGGAAAGGAGACUAAGAGUCAUUUCGAGUAUAUUUCUUAGAGUAAUGGUAAUGACCCCUGAAAGGUCUGUCCUAUGGGAACAUGUUCUGCAUCCCCACCCCAAGGUUCUCAUUGAGGGAGACCCUGCUUGUGCUAUUAUUUUUGUUUUCUUUCUCCAUAGUGGACAGAGUUCACAGACCGCACUUUGGCACGUUGUCCUCACUGCAGGAAAGUGUCAUCUAUUGGGCGCAGAUACCCACGUAAGAGAUGUAUCUGCUGCUUCUUGCUUGGCUUGCUUUUGGCAGUCACUGCCACUGGCCUUGCCGUGAGUACCCUUGCCCCAACCUCUUUCAUUCUGCAGCCUCAUCUCCAUAGGCUAAGAUUUGGGAAACUGCUACCCUAAAAAAAAGUGGAAGAAACUUGGGGGACUAGUUUGUUUUGUUUUAAGAUAUGGAUGAGCUAAAGUGCAAAGUGGCUGAUCAAACAGACUUUAUUACUACUACAAGAGUGAAAAACAGCCUUCCUUUCUCUGUAGGAUGAGGAUAGGACAGUGAAAUUCUUAAUUUAAGAGUUGCUAUUUUUCAAACCUGGCUCAGUUGUCAGAUAUUAAGAAAAACUGAGAUACAGUGUGGGAUGGGAUGAGUAUGUUACGCCUAAGGGAAGGAAGCUGAUCAGCUCUGCCUUUAAGAAGGUCCCUGAGGGUGGCUACAUGUGGAUAAGGAACAAGGACUGAAGCGUGAGUUAUUACUGUUCUUAGAACUAAUAGGAGGUAGUGGAGACCAACAUUAACCCCAUCUUUCUUUUCUUCUCCCUCCUUAUCUUCAUCAGUUUGGCACAUGGAAGCAUGCACGGCGAUAUGGAGGCAUCUAUGCAGCCUGGGCAUUUGUCAUCCUGUUGGCUGUGCUGUGUUUGGGCCGGGCUCUUUAUUGGGCCUGUAUGAAGGUCAGCCACCCUGUCCAGAACUUCUCCUGAGCCUGAUGACCCACAGACUGUGCCUGGCCCCUCCCUGGUGGGGACAGUGACACUACGAAGGGAGCUGGGGUAGUUAAAGGCUCCCGGGGCUUCUAGAAGGAAGCCAAGCAGCUGCCUUCCUUUUCCCUGGGGAGAGGUAGGAAGGAACCAGGCCCUCACUUAGGUUUGGAGGGGCAGAUAAGAGCACUGCUGACCAUCUGCUUUCCUCCAAGGGUUGCUGUGUCUAGGGUGAAGUAGGCAAAACGUUGCCCUUAAAACUGGGCCCUGAAGACGGUUCCAGCCUUGUCCUUCCUGUGUGCUCCCUGAGAGCCAUUCCUGUCCCUUACACAUUCCAGGGCAGGGUGGGGGUGGGUAGCCCUGGGGGUUCCCCUCCCUCUUGUGCACCAUUAGGACUUUGCUGCUGCUAUUGCACUUCACCAGAGGUUGGCUCUGGCCUCAGUACCCUCAGUCUCCUCUCCCCACAUUGUGUCCUGUGGGGGUGGGGUCAGCCGCUGCUCUGUACAGAACCACAGGAACUGAUGUGUAUAUAACUAUUUAAUGUGGGAUAUGUUCCCCUAUUCCUGUAUUUCCCUUAAUUCCUCCUCCCGACCUUUUUUACCCCCCCAGUUGCAGUAUUUAACUGGGCUGGGUAGGGUUGCUCAGUCUUUGGGGGAGGUUAGGGACUUAUCCUGUGCUUGUAAAUAAAUAAGGUCAUGACUCUA